GUGAACCAAGUUGUUGAACACGGAACAGCGCUGAAUAGCCAUAAAUGUGGGCGGUGAUAUGAUAAUGUGCUUGGUGCAUCAUAGCAAUCAUGGAAAACAGGCCUGCCACUGCAUAAAAAGGCAUUUACAGAGGCACAGCAGCAAACAAAACAAAACACUACAUACAAAAUAAAUAAAAAAUGUUUCCCAUGAUAAGUCUCAUAAGCAUGGGAAAAGGUAAUCAGUUAGCACAGUUUGCUAAAGUUUAUGUUAUCUAUGAAUUUUCAAUGACAAUAGUCACUAACUGCACCAGAAGGCACUCCAUCUUGUCCAGCAGGUUUCCGCUUCCGCACCACAUUCAUAUCGAGGCUUGGUUUUAAUCACUCAGCGUGGCGCAACCUACAAAGGUCAAGCCCAUUGAUUAACUGAAUAAAAGGGUGACUUGUAACUAGCGACUGACACAAGAGGUUGUAGCCUUUAGCCUCCUCAUUAGUGUGCCUGCCUCCCUUGCCGGAGUACCCGGUUCGAAUCCCACUUGGAGUGAGUGGAGUAGGACCGGUUACACCUACAACCAAUAAAUGAUAUAUUUUAAUGUUUAAUCUAUGAAUUGUUGAAAGUGGUGUUUUUUUAGCACUUAAUGCUGCACUGAAACUAACUUAGAUGAGGAACACGUCGAUGAGGAGGAGGAUGAAGACAAUGACGAUUAUGGUGAAGUGUAUCAGAAAAAAACAUCAGAUAAUAAAAGGCCAGUAAGAUUGAAAAGAUUGAUUGUUUUUGUACUGUAGUCAAGAAAUCAUCACUGAAGACCCUGAAGAAAUGGCUGACAUUACUCUUCAGACACCUGUGAAAACCAAACACUGCUUUUCUCCAAACCCUUAAGAAAUAAGACUGAACUUCAUCCUCCUUCAUCUACUUUGACUGAACUAGUAAGUUGUGAACAUGCAUGUAAAUGUACUGUAACUUAGAGGCAGUAAAUGUCAGCAUGACUUUACAAUGUUAAUACCAUGUUUUUGCUUCAGGAAGUAUAAUAUGGAAUAAUGGGGGAAUCUCAACAGAGGAGACUGUGUAGCGGAUCAUGGGGAGGUUUUUGCAGCUCCUUGGCUAAAGAGGAACUGGCCAGAGGGAUUAUUGUAUUCUGUACAGUAAAGAAAAACUCCCAAACAAAGAACUCAUGGGAUGAAGAUUUGGAAAGACAUGUUGCACAAUGACCAUGUGAUGCACAGCUCCCGAGAUGCUGGAAGGAGAAAAAGAGCAUAUGCAUGUUAUUAUGCAAAAUAAAAUAUUUAAAAAGAAAUCUUCCUGAUCAGUUGAAUUCAAACAAAUGGUUUAAAUUAUUAAAAUAUGUUUAAGUUUGCUCAGUAUUAAAUUAGGUCAAUCAAUGGCAAAGAAAGAGCUGUUUUGCCUUUAUCAAACUGUAUUGUUGAAACAUAUUUAUUUUGUUUAGACCAACUAAAUUUUUUAAUUUCAUACUCUUCAUUUAAGUUUAAAUUUAAAUACUUCACAUAUAUUGUGAAGUCAUAAUAUAAGUCAUAAUAUGUACUUUAUUUAAGAUCUUGCAUAUUUAUA